rnacentral:misc_RNA from 1 species
GAACUGCGAUAAGUAAUGUGAAUUGCAGAAUUCAGUGAAUCAUCGUGUCUUUGAACGCACAUUGCGCCCCCUGGCAUUCCGGGGGGCAUGCCUGUCCGAGCGUCAUUGCUGCCCUUCAAGCCCGGCUUGUGUGUUGGGUCGUCGUCCCCUCCGGGGGACGGGCCCGAAAGGCAGCGGCGGCACCGCGUCCGGUCCUCGAGCGUAUGGGGCUUUGUCACCCGCUCGAUAAGGACCGGCCGGGCGCCAGCCGGCGUCUCCAACCUUUUUUUCUCAGGUUGACCUCGGAUCAGGUAGGGAUACCCGCUGAACUUAAGC